AGUGAACGCUGGCGGUAGGCCUAACACAUGCAAGUCGAACGGCAGCACAGUAAGAGCUUGCUCUUACGGGUGGCGAGUGGCGGACGGGUGAGGAAUACAUCGGAAUCUACUUUUUCGUGGGGGAUAACGUAGGGAAACUUACGCUAAUACCGCAUACGACCUACGGGUGAAAGCAGGGGAUCUUCGGGCCUUGCGCGAUUGAAUGAGCCGAUGUCAGAUUAGCUAGUUGGCGGGGUAAAGGCCCACCAAGGCGACGAUCCGUAGCUGGUCUGAGAGGAUGAUCAGCCACACUGGAACUGAGACACGGUCCAGACUCCUACGGGAGGCAGCAGUGGGGAAUAUUGGACAAUGGGCGCAAGCCUGAUCCAGCCAUACCGCGUGGGUGAAGAAGGCCUUCGGGUUGUAAAGCCCUUUUGUUGGGAAAGAAAAGCAGCAGGUUAAUACCCCGCUGUUCUGACGGUACCCAAAGAAUAAGCACCGGCUAACUUCGUG
rnacentral:rRNA from 1 species